GAUCCUCAACACCACGUCAUUAUCGUCAGCACGGACCUGGGUCAGGAGUCCUCCCCGGGAGCACAGGGUCCUGGGUGAGCCAUGCCCCUCCUGACGUCACAGGAGCGCUGCAGUCAUCACUCAGCAGGCGUGGGCAGCAUCACUGACAGAACUGGUCUAGUUGUAAAACAGUGUCAUAAUUGAGAGACCCUUUAACCAGCCAGUGUUCCCUGUCUUCCAAAGGAUACUGAGCCCAUUCAAUAUCACAGAAGAAGAUCAGAAUGCAACAGAGUAGCUGUCCCGCAAUGUUGCCCAAGCUGGGACUGCUAUGGGAAGCAUCAGUGUUCCAUGUGCCCAUUCACAUUCCUGAAUACAAUCCUGACUGCAGUAGAAGCGGUGAGUCACGAAGAGAUGAACAACGAUCAAGACGUCCCUUCUGAGCGUCACCACGCUAGUAUUCGUGAUAGUAAAAGAGGUGGUGGAGGGUUGGCCAGUGAGGAAAACGUGAAUUUUGUCCUCAAGCUUCUAGGACCAAUCCUUCCCGUUCAUUCCCCUGGUCCACUAACAGCACUAGCAAAGGAAGAAGCCCAUUGCACUUCCAAUCUGACCAGAUCCUGCAAUUCCUGGUCUGUGUCCUCAAAAACCUCAUGGUCACCAGCAGCGCUUCUAUCCACAUUGGGUGGAGGCACAGCCAUGACAAAGACUCACUUUUAGGACUCUGGUCCCUGAGGCAGACAGCCAAGGGAGUGACCUCUAGCCUGAGAGAUAUUCCUGGAGCUAGAGUUCUGCCUAGUUCCCGAACAUGCUGCUGGACCGAGAGUUCCCCCUUGCUCCAUAUAUGCUCCUAGUAACUUUCUAGCAAGGCUAAGCACUCCUAUAGAGGGGGUCUAAGUAAAAGUACACAAUAGCAGCAUGGAUCACAAGUCCCUUGAAAGUUUAUGAUCUGACAGAUUAUGUUAGUAGGUUUAAUUCCCC